AUACGUAGGUCCCGAACGUUGCGCGAAAUUACUGGGCGUAAAGGGUCCGUAGGCGGUCUGGUAAGUGGAAGGUGAAAGCCUGGGGCUCAACUCCAGAAUUGCCUUCCAAACUGCCGGACUUGAGGCAGGGAGAGGUCGACGGAAUUCCCGGUGUAGUGGUGAAAUGCGUAGAUAUCGGGAGGAACACCAGUGGCGAAGGCGGCCGACUGGAACUGUCCUGACGCUGAGGGACGAAAGCCAGGGGAGCGAACCGGAUUAGAAACCCUAGUAGUCC
rnacentral:rRNA from 1 species